rnacentral:rRNA from 1 species
UGGGGAAUAUUGGACAAUGGGCGAAAGCCUGAUCCAGCCAUGCCGCGUGUGUGAAGAAGGUCUUCGGAUUGUAAAGCACUUUAAGUUGGGAGGAAGGGCAUUAACCUAAUACGUUAGUGUUUUGACGUUACCGACAGAAUAAGCACCGGCUAACUCUGUGCCAGCAGCCGCGGUAAUACAGAGGGUGCAAGCGUUAAUCGGAAUUACUGGGCGUAAAGCGAGCGUAGGUGGUUUGUUAAGGGGGAUGUGAAAUCCCCGGGCUCAACCUGGGAACUGCAUUCAAAACUGACUGACUAGAGUAUGGUAGAGGGUGGUGGAAUUUCCUGUGUAGCGGUGAAAUGCGUAGAUAUAGGAAGGAACACCAGUGGCGAAGGCGACCACCUGGACUAAUACUGACACUGAUGUGCGAAAGCGUGGGGAGCAAACA